rnacentral:lncRNA from 1 species
GGGACAUCAGUGCACAUAUGCUUGAAUUUAUUGGCAAGAGGAUGGUUUUGAAGAGAAUGAGAGUUGUUUGGAAUGGUUUGGAAGACUGGGACCGGCACAUGGGUACUACAAUCCUCAAAGGAGAUGUAAUACGUGAGUGCCAAGAUGAAACAAGAUAUACCAAAAAAAUUUUUGCCCUGGUUUAGUGUUUGGGAAAAUGAGCAUAGGGGUAUGGAUACAUGAAAAUAAGGGUGAACAAAUCAAAUGAGACUUGCAAAUCUGCCCCAGUCUUGGUAUCAUGGGUUGAUGAAAAAUUUGUAUGAGACUCACAAAGCUGCCCUAGUCUUGGGUCAUGGGUUGAUGAAAAAUUUGUAUGAGACUCCCAAAGUUGCCCCAGUUUUU